GAUGUACUCCCUCCGUUCUGAAUUACUUGUCUUGGAUUUGUCUAGAUACGGAUGUAUCUAGACUCAUUUUAGUGCUAGAUACAUCCGUAUCUAGACAAAUCUAAGACAAGUAAUUCGGAACGGAGGGAGUACAUC
rnacentral:pre_miRNA from 1 species